rnacentral:rRNA from 1 species
AGUGAACGCUGGCGGUAGGCCUAACACAUGCAAGUCGAACGGCAGCACAGUAAGAGCUUGCUCUUACGGGUGGCGAGUGGCGGACGGGUGAGGAAUACAUCGGAAUCUACUUUUUCGUGGGGGAUAACGUAGGGAAACUUACGCUAAUACCGCAUACGACCUACGGGUGAAAGCAGGGGAUCUUCGGACCUUGCGCGAUUGAAUGAGCCGAUGUCGGAUUAGCUAGUUGGCGGGGUAAAGGCCCACCAAGGCGACGAUCCGUAGCUGGUCUGAGAGGAUGAUCAGCCACCCUGGAACUGAGACACGGUCCAGACCCCUACGGGAGGAAGCUGUGGGGAAUUUUGGAAAAUGGGCGCAAGCCUGAUCCAGCCAUACCGCGGGGGUGAAGAAGGCCUUCGGGUUGUAAAGCCCUUUUUUUGGGAAAAAAAAGCAGCAGGUUAAUACCCCGCUGUUCUGACGGUACCCAAAAAAUAAGCACCGGCUAACUUCGU